GAUACGAUUCAGCAUCUGGGUGGUGACAUCAUGAUCCCUCAGCUUGUCAAAUCCUGAAAAGAGCAUGUUACCAGGGGAAAAGAGGGGGGGGUAUAAGACACAAUGGGAUAGUUCCUUUUUACUGGCAAUAAAAACAGUGAGUGAUUUGUUGUUAUAGAUCCAUUUAUACGGAACAAAUACUUCACUGCUAGCAUAGUGCUCAAGGACUUGGACUUGUCACUCGUCGGGAUCCCAGGAGAAGCCUGGCUUUAAGGCUUUUUCCAGAUUGUGAAAGCAAAAGGGAGCAUGCGCCGCCCUGGUGGCGAACGGUGUAAUUCCCCAACUCCAUCGCUCAAACAAAAUGUACGGUAAUUCCAGCCUGUCACUCCUCUGCUACAGUUUGUACCUCAGCCCAGACAAAAACGACAGGAGCCUCCGUGUUAUUUUCAUAUUUCCCCGUCUGUUCAUCCCUUGGGAAAAGAACGACAGACACUCGGGUUGGGAUUAUUACACUAAAUGCCCCAUUGGUUGCCUUUCAAACAGAGAGACAAGACGCUAAAACGAAAAAAAAAAAUAUUUAUGCAGGGAAAUGUGCUAUCUGGUUCGCCUGGUAUCCUAGGAGGGUUUAUAACAAAUAAAAAUGAGGAAAAAUUUAAGAAGAAUGUUUAUCCUGUAAAAAUGUUUUUGUUGAUGACGUCGUUCUGUCGCCUGCAGCCUUCUUGGAGCUGCAGUAAUUACAUCUGUGUUUUUUUUAGCAGUUUAUGGGAUUGACGGACAGCUGUGGUCGCAGUGGAUGCAUGUAACUGCGGAGUUCAGGCUCCUGUUCGCCUCCAUCUGCCGUGACUAAGAGCUGACUCCUCACGCCCCACACUUAGCCGCUUAGCAUUUGUGUUUCAUCAAAGACGUUCUGCAGUUAAAAAUGUCCCUCUGUCUGUUCUCAUGCCGUUUUCGCCGAGGUUAAAACCGUUUAGGAAACUGCCGUCUCGAUGUGAUGUCUGCUGGGUGUCCCUAACGUUGUCGGCGAGCGGACAGGGCCCGAAGAUGAUGGGGGCCGCUCGUAAAACGCUCCGGCAGCUGGCCGCAAACAUCGCUUGGAUCGGCGCUCAUAGGACGCUCCACCCCAGACAUGACAUUCCCCCCUCCCUCUCCCCUCUUCCCAGCAGCCGUGUGGCUUUCAGAGCCAACUGGCCUGGAACAGGCUGAGCUUACCGGUAAAAAUGGAAGCGAGGGCCAAAGUCAACACCCUCCCUUUCCUGUGAGACGGACGCAGCGGAUUGGCAGCCCCCCGGCCAGCCGAGGUCCUUGAAGGGGAGCAAUGGUUUCCUGCCACUCUGUUCUCCUGCAUCCCAGUGCUUCCAUGAAUGAGAUUUACUGCUCCUGUCAAAACUUCUGACGGAUCCUUCAGGAGAAACAACCUUCUCGUGGAUUCGCUCUUGUCACUCCUGGGGGGCUGUGCUUCCCACCGGCCCAGUAACAUCUGCAUCGCCACGAGAUCACAUCUCACUUUAACAUCUUCCUGUCCGACUUCUUUAGCCUCCGUUGUAAUAGCGGAUGGGCCCUGAUUGAAUUUGUUUUUAUUGUGUUGUCACUAAUAAGUAGUAUGUUCUGUGCAUCUUGAAACACUGCUGGCCAGUUGCUCCAGUUAGAUAUAAGACUGACACUGGAAAAGCCCAAAGACACAGAUGCAUUUUCUGAAAAGAUAAAGCGAAAACUACAAAAGAGGGUAAAAUAUUCCCCUCGGGUCCCAAAGAAAUUCAGUCUUCUCGAAAUCUCUGUGCACAUCAGAAGUUUUCGGUAGUCAGAUCGGAUGUUCGUUUUAAUGCCGCAUUCUUUCAGCAAGUGGAGACCUGUUGGUCUUGGUUGCUUUUGGGCUGUUCAGCCUUCUCCUCCGAACGGUUUCAUCGAACAUCUGUUUAUGGACUAAGUUCAGGAAAUUAAGGCCCUUUCAGCAGUUCUCCUCGGCUCUGUGAAAAUAUAAUAUUGGGGCGAGGGCAUUUAUCUUGUAAGCGCUGAAUAUAGAAAUAGUAUUAAUAAAUCGAUAGUAAGGGGCCGUGUAAAGACAGUUUUCGUGCUCCCUUGCAGCUGACCUCAGUGCAACUCGGAAGAUUUAUUGCUGAGGUUUUCGCGCCAAGUAAACGCUGCAUUGGAGAGGACCGAAAUUCUUGGAAAACUUGAAGGUGAAUGAGGAAGAGGAGUCGCCGGCAGUAAGAUGGACACUCAAUCAUCUCAACAAUGGAUAUGCUAUUGGGAUGGCUGGAGACCCCAACAGGAAACAGGACAUUGUGUCUUCUGCAUGGUCACCAAGAGUCCGCGUUGACUUGACAGCCCUUAACACUAAUAAUAAAGGUUCAUAGACAGGAACAUAAUUCCAGGAUAAACAAGGAUCCUGAAAUGAGAUCUAUGGUUCCGUGGAACUGAAAUGGAGUUCUGUGGCCACACAGUUAUUUUCAUUUCAGGAAACAAGAUGGGUUCUGCUUGUUUGUUUGGGUCCGGCCAGCUGCUGUAACGGAAGACCCAAACAUUCAGAGAUGAAAUCGGUUAAUUACAGAGGAAGGGCUAUAAUCUAAGAGUUACUCAGUGCUUACGGAGGAUCCCACUUUAGACUGUCCACUCUGCAGUGCAGUUUGGGAAAGGCUGAUGCGUCAUUUGUACCUUGGAAUUUUCCAGAAUGGUCCGGUUCCCCUUUGCCUUUGGUGAAUGGGGAACAAUCCUCACAUGUAGUGAGUCAUCUUUUCAACAUGUACAAGCCACUUUGGUCCACUCGUUUAGUAAAAUCAUGAAUAUAUGUGAAAAAUUUCCAUGGACUGUAGUGGAUUAAGAUUUCAAUAGCAAGCUGCAAAUU